rnacentral:rRNA from 1 species
AUUGAACGCUGGCGGCAGGCCUAACACAUGCAAGUCGAGCGAGCGGCGGACGGGUGAGUAAUGUAUGGGGACUGCCCGAUAGAGGGGGAUAACUACUGGAAACGGUGGCUAAUACCGCAUUCUGUCGGAUACCCCAUAUGGGAUUAGCUAGUAGGUAAGGUAAUGGCUUACCUAGGCGACGAUCCCUUGCUGGUCUGAGCGGAGGAUCAGCCACACUGGGACUGAGACACGGCCCAGACUCCUACGGAGGCAGCAGUGGGGAAUAUUGCACAAUGGGCGCAAGCCUGAUGCAGCCACGCCGCGUGUAUGAAGAAGGCCCUAGGGUUGUAAAGUACUUUCAGUCGGGAGGCGUUACCGACAGAAGAAGCACCGGCUAACUCCGUGCCAGCCGCCGCGGUAAUUC